GGUGAAAUAGCUCAGCUGUGAAAGAUUUUAGACUCAGGAUCUAUGUCCUUGGUUAGAAACCGCGUUUCGCCA